AAGCUGUGAUGAAAACCAUGCGCGUCAUCUGAUUCGCUCUCCAGAUGCCGGACCUUCCUUGCCUUCCGUCUCUCCUCGGUUCUCGAGGGGCACGGGUCAAGCAGGAUGGUCUGGUUUGGAGAGCACGAGAUGCUUGCUUUUUUUCUGAGCUU